UACGGAGGGUGCAAGCGUUGUUCGGAUUUCCUGGGCGUAAAGCGCGCGCCGGUGGGUGACCAAGUCGGAAGUGAAAUCUCGAGGCUCAACCUCGAGGCUGCUCCCGAAACUGGUCGCCUAGGGACUGGUAGAGGCUGGUAGAAUUCCCGGUGUAGCGGUGGAAUGCGUAGAGAUCGGGAAGAAUACCUGUGGCGAAGGCGGCCAGCUGGGCCAGAUCCGACACUGAGGCGCGAAAGCGUGGGGAGCAAACAGG
rnacentral:rRNA from 1 species